GAUGAACGCUAGCGGCAGGCUUAACACAUGCAAGUCGAGGGGUAUACUUCUUCGGAAGUAGAGACCGGCGCACGGGUGCGUAACGCGUAUGCAAUCUACCUUUCACAAAGGAAUAGCCCAGAGAAAUUUGGAUUAAUGCCUUAUAGUAUAACGACUUCGCAUGGAGAUGUUAUUAAAGAUUUAUCGGUGAAAGAUGAGCAUGCGUCCCAUUAGCUAGUUGGUAAGGUAACGGCUUACCAAGGCUACGAUGGGUAGGGGUCCUGAGAGGGAGAUCCCCCACACUGAUACUGAGACACGGACCAGACUCCUACGGGAGGCAGCAGUGAGGAAUAUUGGUCAAUGGGCGCAAGCCUGAACCAGCCAUGCCGCGUGCAGGAUGACGGUCCUAUGGAUUGUAAACUGCUUUUAUACAGGAAGAAACAACUCUACGUGUAGAGUCUUGACGGUACUGUAGGAAUAAGGAUCGGCUAACUCCGUGCCAGCAGCCGCGGUAAUACGGAGGAUCCAAGCGUUAUCCGGAAUCAUUGGGUUUAAAGGGUCCGUAGGCGGCUUAAUAAGUCAGUGGUGAAAGCCCUACGCUUAACGUAGGAACGGCCAUUGAUACUGUUAGGCUUGAAUUAUUAGGAAGUAACUAGAAUAUGUAGUGUAGCGGUGAAAUGCUUAGAGAUUACAUGGAAUACCAAUUGCGAAGGCAGGUUACUACUAAUGGAUUGACGCUGAUGGACGAAAGCGUGGGUAGCGAACAGGAUUAGAUACCCUGGUAGUCCACGCCGUAAACGAUGGAUACUAGCUGUUGGGAGCAAUCUCAGUGGCUAAGCGAAAGUGAUAAGUAUCCCACCUGGGGAGUACGGUUC
rnacentral:rRNA from 1 species